rnacentral:misc_RNA from 1 species
AUCCGGAAUGAAAAAUACGUCGACUGGAAAAUUACCCUCUUAUAAUCAAGUGAAAAGCUGGCGUCGAUAAAUUUUUUGCAUGGAGGAGCAUUUCAAAUUCCACGCACAUGGAUAUAGUCAUACGUAUUAUAAGAGAACAAAGAAAGCUCUUGUAUUUACAUCAAAUAGUUCAUUUGUAUUAUCAUCUACACGGAGAGAUUAUAUGUAAUCGUUUCUGCAAAGGAGCUCACUAUUUGAUUUCGGGCGACGGAUUACUGCUGAAUAGCAGUACAAAAAAUAUAUGAAACUGAACUAUAACUAUGACAGCCUUGUCGAUGAAGUUUUCUGAGGCGGAAGAUCGGAUGUUAUCAAUGGACAUAUCCAAUCUAUCACGUCUUCCGAUUUUUGCUUCGAUGCCAAUAAGACCUCUGGUGAUCAAAUAUAUGUUGAAAAUGCUGAGUAAUGAGACCAUUAUCGAACCAACGAUCAUUACGAUGUACAAAACUAGGUAGACUGUAUUAACUGCAGAGUCAGGGUGGAGGAAGAGAAUCAAUGGGGGGCAGAAUAGCUGGGCCACAAGCUCAGGUAUGAACAAUUCCAUUCGUCUCUUCAUGAAUAUUGUUGUGCAAUAAAAAUAAUAUGUCGUUCCUAAGAACAUGUAUAAUAAAAAUAUCACAAAGAAACGACGGUUGUAUUCUCCAAUGCAGUAACCAAUGAACAUGCAAUGAUGAUCACGUUUCAAUAUGCAAGUAUUGC